rnacentral:tRNA from 1 species
GCUCUCGUGGUGAAACGGAAAUCAUAACUGCCUUCGAAGCAGUUGUUGCAGGUUCGAAUCCUGCCGAGAGCA